AACGAACGCUGGCGGCAGGCUUAACACAUGCAAGUCGAGCGCCCCGCAAGGGGAGCGGCAGACGGGUGAGUAACGCGUGGGAAUCUACCUUUUGCUACGGAAUAACUCAGGGAAACUUGUGCUAAUACCGUAUGUGCCCUUCGGGGGAAAGAUUUAUCGGCAAAGGAUGAGCCCGCGUUGGAUUAGCUAGUUGGUGAGGUAAAGGCUCACCAAGGCGACGAUCCAUAGCUGGUCUGAGAGGAUGAUCAGCCACACUGGGACUGAGACACGGCCCAGACUCCUACGGGAGGCAGCAGUGGGGAAUAUUGGACAAUGGGCGCAAGCCUGAUCCAGCCAUGCCGCGUGAGUGAUGAAGGCCCUAGGGUUGUAAAGCUCUUUCAACGGUGAAGAUAAUGACGGUAACUAGAAGAAGCCCGUAAUUC
rnacentral:rRNA from 1 species